CAGGAGACGAGCCGUGAGGGUAGGUUGGAACCCGACUGCGGACCUUGAACGCCGGACUGGGGCAGCUGCGAGCCUUUGGGAGUAGGAGGACUGAGGGGAGCGCCAGAACUGGACUCUCCGCCUAGCAGUUUGGGCCGGACGCCUGGGUCCUCCGGGCCCGUCCCCUUAGGGGCGGGGUUGGGCUCUAGGACCAAUGACCGGCCGUCCCUGAGUCCCCGCCCCGUCCCGCCCCCGAGCCGGGGCAUCCCAGAGUGCCCAACCGCCAGGCGCCCAGGCCUGGGGCAGCGCGAGCGCCGAACCUCCGGCUGGACACCAAGAUGCCUGGCGAACAGCAGGCAGAGGAGGAGGAGGAGGAAGAAAUGCAGGAGGAGAUGGUGCUGUUGGUGAAGGGUGAGGAGGACGAGGGUGAGGAGAAGUAUGAGGUGGUGAAACUCAAGAUCCCCGUGGACAACAAGGAGGUCCCGAGCGAGGCGCCAGCGCCGUCGGCCGACCCGGCGCGCCCCCACGCGUGCCCCGA